CUAAAACACUCAUAUUUGUGUUUAACAAAGUCUUACGAGUACAACAGUACCCAUUUGUACAGGUUUUUUGGGGUUUUGGAACGUUACGGGGACAAAUAUAGGGCUGUUCUCUUUGCCUGAUUGGUUUACUGGAAUUAGAAUUACCACCAGCAUGGCAUACUAUUCAUAAAAGUAGACAACCCAAGGUAUUCAGAAUUGGAUAAAUCAGGUCUUUUGUAGUAGCCACUUAG